UACGUAGGGUGCGAGCGUUAAUCGGAAUUACUGGGCGUAAAGCGUGCGCAGGCGGUUUUGUAAGACAGGUGUGAAAUCCCCGGGCUUAACCUGGGAACUGCAUUUGUGACUGCAAGACUAGAGUGUGGCAGAGGGGGGUAGAAUUCCACGUGUAGCAGUGAAAUGCGUAGAUAUGUGGAGGAAUACCGAUGGCGAAGGCAGCCCCCUGGGUCAACACUGACGCUCAUGCACGAAAGCGUGGGGAGCAAACAGG
rnacentral:rRNA from 1 species